rnacentral:tRNA from 1 species
UCUUCAAUAGCUCAGUGGUAGAGCAGAUGGCUGUUAACCAUCGGGUCGUCGGUUCAAAUCCGGCUUGGGGAG